rnacentral:rRNA from 1 species
GACGAACGCUGGCGGCGUGCUUAACACAUGCAAGUCGAACGGAAAGGCCCUGCUUUUGUGGGGUGCUCGAGUGGCGAACGGGUGAGUAACACGUGAGUAACCUGCCCUUGACUUUGGGAUAACUUCAGGAAACUGGUGCUAAUACCGGAUAGGAGCUCCUGCUGCAUGGUGGGGGUUGGAAAGUUUCGGCGGUUGGGGAUGGACUCGCGGCUUAUCAGCUUGUUGGUGGGGUAGUGGCUUACCAAGGCUUGGACGGGUAGCCGGCCUGAGAGGGUGACCGGCCACAUUGGGACUGAGAGAGGGCCCAGACUCAUACGGGAGGGAGGAGUGGGGAAUAUUGCACGAUGGGCGGAAGCCUGAUGCAGCAACGCCGCGUGCGGGAUGACGGACUUCGGGUUGUAAACCGAUUUCGCCUGUGACGAAGCGUGAGUGACGGUAAUGGGUAAAGAGGCACCGGCUAACUCCGUG